rnacentral:rRNA from 1 species
UCCUCCCUCUUUCUUCGUGCUUAACACAUGCAAGUCGAACGGAAAGGCCCUGCUUUUGUGGGGGGCUCGAGUGGCGAACGGGUGAGUAACACGUGAGUAACCUGCCCUUGACUUUGGGAUAACUUCAGGAAACUGGGGCUAAUACCGGAUAGGAGCUCCUGCUGCAUGGUGGGGGUUGGAAAGUUUCGGCGGUUGGGGAUGGACUCGCGGCUUAUCAGCUUGUUGGUGGGGUAGUGGCUUACCAAGGCUUUGACGGGUAGCCGGCCUGAGAGGGUGACCGGCCACAUUGGGACUGAGAUACGGCCCAGACUCCUACGGGAGGCAGCAGUGGGGAAUAUUGCACAAUGGGCGGAAGCCUGAUGCAGCAACGCCGCGUGCGGGAUGAAGGCCUUCGGGUUGUAAACCGCUUUCGCCUGUGACGAAGCGUGAGUGACGGUAAUGGGUAAAGAAGCACCGGCUAACUACGUG